rnacentral:rRNA from 1 species
UACGUAGGGGGCAAGCGUUGUCCGGAUUUACUGGGCGUAAAGAGCGUGUAGGCGGCCAAGCAGGUCCGUUGUGAAAACUGGAGGCUUAACCUCCAGACGUCGACGGAAACCGCGCGGCUAGAGUCCGGAAGAGGAGAGUGGAAUUCCGAGUGUAGAGGUGAAAUUCGUAGAUAUUCGGAAGAACACCAGUGGCGAAGGCGACUUACUGGACGACUGUUGACGCUGAGGUGCGAAAGCGUGGGGAGCAAACAGG